GGGUGUGAGGGUGAUCUGGCUGCGACAUCUGUCACCCCAUUGAUCGCCAGGGUUGAUUCGGCUGAUCUGGCUGGCUAGAUGUGUGUCCCCUUCCUCCCUCACCGCUUCAUGUGCGUCUCUCCCGAAGCUGCGCGCUUGGUCAAAGAGGACGACCUUCCCCGAUAGAGGAGGACUGUUCUUCGGUCAGGGGUAUACGAGUAGCUGCGCUCCCCUGCUAGAACCUCCAAACAAGCUCUCAAAUGUUGUGUCCCCUCAAAAUUCGCAUAUCGAAGCCAAAUCCGCAUUGUGAUGGUAUUU
rnacentral:snRNA from 1 species